rnacentral:rRNA from 1 species
UGCCAGCCGCCGCGGUAAUACGGAGGGUCCAAGCGUUGUCCGGAUUUAUUGGGUUUAAAGGGUACGCAGGCGGGACUUUAAGUCAGUGGUGAAAGCCUCCAGCUUAACUGGAGAAUUGCCAUUGAAACUGAAGUUCUUGAGUAUGGAUGAGGUGGUUGGAAUAUAACAUGUAGCGGUGAAAUGCAUAGAUAUGUUAUAGAACACCAAUUGCGAAGGCAGAUCACUAAACCAUUACUGACGCUGAGGUACGAAAGCGUGGGGAGCGAACAGGAUUAGAUA